CGGACGGGUGAGUAACGCGUGGGUGACCCGCCCCAUACCGGGGGAUAACAGCUGGAAACGGCUGCUAAUACCGCAUAAGCGCACAGAGCUGCAUGGCUCAGUGUGAAAAACUCCGGUGGUAUGGGAUGGGCCCGCGUCUGAUUAGGCAGUUGGCGGGGUAACGGCCCACCAAGGCGACGAUCGGUAGCCGGACUGAGAGGUUGAACGGCCACAUUGGGACUGAGACACGGCCCAG
rnacentral:rRNA from 1 species